GAUGAACGCUAGCGGCAGGCCUAACACAUGCAAGUCGAGGGGCAUCAUGGCGUAGCAAUACGCUGAUGGCGACCGGCGCACGGGUGCGUAACGCGUAUGGAACCUACCCACCGCAGGGGGAUAACCCGCCGAAAGGCGGACUAAUACCCCAUGGUUCCCCGACCCUGCCUGGGGUUGGGGGUAAAGCCUACGGGCGGCGGUGGAUGGCCCUGCGUGCCAUUAGCUGGCUGGUGGGGUAACGGCCCACCAGGGCGACGAUGGCUAGGGGGUCUGAGAGGACGAUCCCCCACACUGGUACUGAGACACGGACCAGACUCCUACGGGAGGCAGCAGUGAGGAAUAUUGGUCAAUGGGCGGAAGCCUGAACCAGCCAUGCCGCGUGCAGGAUGACGGCCCUACGGGUUGUAAACUGCUUUUCCCGGGGCGAAUAACCCCUCGCGAGGGGAGUGCCGGUACCGGGGAAUAGGAUCGGCUAACUCCGUG
rnacentral:rRNA from 1 species